rnacentral:rRNA from 1 species
AUUGAACGCUGGCGGAAUGCUUUACACAUGCAAGUCGAACGGCAGCGCGGGGGCAGCCCUGGUGGCGAGUGGCGAACGGGUGAGUAAUACAUCGGAACGUGCCCGGUCGUGGGGGAUAACGUAGCGAAAGUUACGCUAAUACCGCAUACGAUCUGAGGAUGAAAGCGGGGGACCUUCGGGCCUCGCGCGAUCGGAGCGGCCGAUGUCAGAUUAGGUAGUUGGAGGGGUAAAGGCCUACCAAGCCGACGAUCUGUAGCUGGUCUGAGAGGACGACCAGCCACACUGGGACUGAGACACGGCCCAGACUCCUACGGGAGGCAGCAGUGGGGAAUUUUGGACAAUGGGCGCAAGCCUGAUCCAGCCAUUCCGCGUGCAGGACGAAGGCCUUCGGGUUGUAAACUGCUUUUGUACGGAACGAAAAGGCUCUGGCUAAUACCUGGGGCUCAUGACGGUACCGUAAGAAUAAGCACCGGCUAACUACGUG